CCUACGGGAGUCAGCAGUGGGGAAUAUUGCGCAAUGGGCGAAAGCCUGACGCAGCGACGCCGCGUGAGGGAUGAAGGUCUUCGGAUCGUAAACCUCUGUCAGCAGGGAAGAACGGGCACUUUGCUAACCAGCAGUGCAUUGACGGUACCUGAACAGGAAGCACCGGCUAACUACGUGCCAGCAGCCGCGGUAAUACGGAGGGUGCGAGCGUUAACCGGAAGUACUGGGCGUAAAGCGCGCGUAGGCGGGUUUUCAAGUCAAGGGUGAAAGCCCCGGGUUCAACGUGGGAGGGGCAUUGGAAACUGGCAAACUUGAGGGUGGAAGAGGAUAGUGGAAUUCCAGGUGUAGGAGUGAAAUGCGUAGAUAUAUGGAGGAACAGCAGUGGAGAAGGCGACUAUCUGGCACGUAACUGACGCUGAGGAGCGAAAGCGUGGGGAGCAAACAGGAUUAGAUACCCGAGUAGUC
rnacentral:rRNA from 1 species